CUGCUCAACUUUGGCAGCACAUUUACCAAAAUUGGACUGAGACGGAGAAGAUGAACGUGGCCCCUGCCCAGGAAGACGGGCGAAUUCCUGCGGCUUUCCUCUCCUGC
rnacentral:snRNA from 1 species